ensembl:lncRNA
GGCAAGGGAACUGAUAGCAGUAUUGUUAUGCCUUUUUUGUUCUAUAUAUGUGCUAUACUGAUGUCAGACCUCUACUUUAAAAUAAGGACCCUAACACAUGAGAGUAUUGAUUUAGCCUUUCAGAUCGUUUAUAACUAUUCUUAAUUCUCAUGUCUAGAAGAAACCUCUGCAAUUUCAAUUAAACACAAGGUCUGUUUUUCAACAUCUGUUUAUUCAUGUAGGCGAGUCCCCUAACACAAUUCAGACUUUUUGGUAUUUCUCAAAUUCCAGGACAGUUCUUUUGGUAUGUAGCCUUUGUUUUGUGGCUGGAAAAUCAUGUAUGCCUAAACUUCUAGCUCUUUUUGUUUCAGUAGAAAGAAACUCAGACCGGCCCCUUUUCACCACAACUGAGUGCAGGCUGGUUUUGUCUCACAGACUGUACAAGUUGAUGACAUCCUGAGGGAUGCCUCAUAGCAUGGUUAAGUGAUUAUCAGCAACAGCAGUGUCAGCUCAGCAAACUCUGUCAUAAAACAGAUGGUGUGAUCCAAAAGUUCUCCAAGGAGAUCACAUGAUCUUGACAUGGGGAUGCAUCACAAGGGAUAUACUACAAUUCAGUCAGCAGCAG